AUACCUUUCUCGGCCUUUUGGCUAAGAUCAAGUGUAGUAUCUGUUCUUAUCAGUUUAAUAUCUGAUAUGUGGGCCAUGUGCCCACUUCGAUAUUAAAUUUAUUUUUUGUGGGGGAGGAUCCACCACAGUGGCUUGCCACUGGGAUCUUCGAGCGUCGCUUGGGCUUUGCACUACUGCCCUAGCCUGGCGCACCCCAA
rfam:Setaria italica strain Yugu1 chromosome V, whole genome shotgun sequence.